GAUCAUGGCUCAGGAUGAACGCUAGCGGCAGGCUUAACACAUGCAAGUCGAGGGGCAGCGGGAUGUAGCAAUACAUUGCCGGCGACCGGCGGAUGGGUGCGUAACGCGUAUGCAACCUACCUAUACAGGGGGAUAACCUUUCGAAAGGGAGACUAACACCCCAUAGUAUUGAUUUAAGGCAUCUUAGAUUAAUUAAAUAUUUAUAGGUAUAAGAUGGGCAUGCGUAUGAUUAGCUAGUUGGUAAGGUAACGGCUUACCAAGGCGACGAUCAUUAGGGGUUCUGAGAGGAAGGUCCCCCCACACUGGUACUGAGACACGGACCAGACUCCUACGGGAGGCAGCAGUGAGGAAUAUUGGUCAAUGGGCGCAAGCCUGAACCAGCCAUGCCGCGUGCAGGAAAAGACGGCCUUAUGGGUUGUAAACUGCUUUUACAUAAGACUAACCGUAUAUUUGCGAAUAUACCUGAAUGUAUUAUGAGAAUAAGGAUCGGCUAACUCCGUGCCAGCAGCCGC
rnacentral:rRNA from 1 species